AAUGAACGCUGGCGGUAGGCCUAACACAUGCAAGUCGAACGGCCGCACAGUAAGCGCUUGCUCUUACCGGUGGCGAGUGGCGGACGGGUGAGGAAUACAUCGGCAUCCUCUUUUUCGUGGGUGAUAACGUAGGGCAACUUACGCUACUACCGCAUACGACCUACGGGUGAGAGCAGUGGAUAUUCGGACCUUUGCCGAUUGAUAGAGCCGAUGUCGGAUUAGCUAGUUGGGGAGGUAACGGCCCACCAAGGCGACGAUACGUAGCUGGUCUGAGAGGAUGAUCAGCCACACUGGAACUGAGACACGGUCCAGACUCCUACGGGAGGCAGCAGUGGGGAAUAUUGGACAAUGGGCGAAAGCCUGACCCAGCAAUGCCGCGUGAGUGAUGAAGGCCUUCGGGUCGUAAAGCCCUUUUGUUGGGGAAGAAAAGCUGCGGGAUUAAAUACGGCUGUCUUGACGGUACCCAAAGAAAAAGCACCGGCUAACUUCGUG
rnacentral:rRNA from 1 species